rnacentral:lncRNA from 1 species
AUGGAUUUGAAACUACAUGAUAAUAUAGCAUGUAGAAUAUACACAAUUAAUAGGUUAAACAAAAGACAUAAAACAAAAAAAAUAUUGACAUAUUAUAAAAUAAUGAUAAAAGAAUAUAACAAUAUUUACCAUAAAAUAAACAAUAGUGCUAAUCACUGGAAUUAUUAUAAACACAGUAUUAAUAACCUAACCAGUAAUAAUAUCCUCGAAUUAUGUUACUACAAGGAGAACUAUAACCAUGUAAAUGUUUCGAAAUUUUGUAAAAAAAAAAAAAAUAAUAACAAUAAUUUUAGUAAUAAUUUAUUAUUACUAUUUGGAUGUAAAAGAAAAAUGUUGUUUAUUUAUAAAUACAUUAUAAAUUGUUUAAAAAAAAAAAAUAAAAAAAAAAAAAUUAAUUGUAUCUAUGAAUGGAGCAAAGAACAUGUCCUUAUAUUAUUGUAUUUAUUUAAACUGGACAAAUAUAUAUCAAGUUUUAAUUAUAAUAAUAUAAAUGGUUUAUUUUUUUUUAUAAUAAAUAAUAGAAAAUUUUUAAAAGAUUUUGGAAUAUAUAAUAAUUAUGAAAUUUUUUUUUUUUUAAAUUUUAUUAACACUUUUGUUAAUAUACAUAAUAUAUAUAUACAAAUGUUACUAAAAUGGAAUAAUGUAUAUAAAGAUUUUUUAUUUACUUAUGCUUUAAUUAAAUAUAAGCAAUUAUAUUUUUUUAAAAAAAUAGAAAAUUAUUGUCCUCACAAUUUUUAUUUUUGUUAUUUUUUAAAUUCACCGGUUUGUUUAAAACUUUAUUCAACAUAUAAUACAUACAGUACAUUACCUAAACAUAGAAAUAUUCCUGUUUAUGUAAAACGAAAAAAAAAUUGUGACAAAAUAGCAUUCACACAUUGUAAUAAAAAAAAUGAUAAAAAAAAAAUAAAGGACAUAGCAAGUAAAAGCAGUAACACAGAGGAAGAAGUAAAAACAAAACCUGAAAUAAACAAUGUUAAUAGUAAACGUGAAAAAAACGAUUUUUUUAAAGAAGAAAAAACAAAUGUACAUAUAAUAAUAAAUAAUCAAAAGAAAUAUAACAAACUGGAAAAGUUAAACAUUAAUAUAGGUAAUGAUAAAAUAUACAAUGAUAAAGAGUUAACACAUAUUAAUUUAUUACAUGCAGAAAAAAAAAAAAAACAGAACAAACAUCUACCAAUUUUAACGAAUUCAAUACAAACAGUAAAUUUCAAAAUAACUUUUUAA